rnacentral:rRNA from 1 species
UACGUAGGGCGCAAGCGUUGUCCGGAAUUAUUGGGCGUAAAGAGCUCGUAGGCGGUCUGUCGCGUCGGAUGUGAAAGCCCGGGGCUUAACCCCGGGUCUGCAUUCGAUACGGGCAGACUAGAGUGUGGUAGGGGAGAUCGGAAUUCCUGGUGUAGCGGUGAAACGCGCAGAUAUCAGGAGGAACACCGGUGGCGAAGGCGGAUCUCUGGGCCAUUACUGACGCUGAGGAGCGAAAGCGUGGGGAGCGAACAGG